rnacentral:rRNA from 1 species
AUCACUCGGCUCGUGGAUCGAUGAAGACCGCAGCUAAAUGCGCGUCAGAAUGUGAACUGCAGGACACAUGAACACCGACAAGUUGAACGCAUAUUGCACAUCGUACAACAGUACGAUGUACACAUUUUUGAGUGCCUAUAUUUAUCUAUUCAACUGUGCACGCAGUGCACGCAGAAGGGUGUUUUGCUGCCUUCGGUGGCUGGCAAAACAUUCAAGACGCUCAGCGGCUCGGGGUUUUCGUUCGCGGACGGCCACACUGGUGCGCACGCACGCGACUGAACGGACGACGACGGUGAGAAUACAUCCCACACACCAACCUGGCUUGGGCGCCGAUGUAGCAUCUCUCACGCCGCCACGUCGUCGUCACACGUUCGUUCGGUCAUCCGGCGUCGUCGCGGUACCGCGUCCACAGAACAGAACAACCCAACACACGAGCAGCGAACGACAAGCGAUAAGAUAAACCCCCCAUGUAGGCCUCAAAUAAUGUGUGACUACCCCCUAAAUUUAAGCAU